CCAUGGCCCUAAUCAUCUUGUUCAUGUGGUUAGUAAAAUGAGUAACAUUCGUGCUCAUAUCAGGUAUAUAUGUACAGCAUUGGGUAUGAAUAAUGGCACAAGUUCCUCCUUGUGCAGCUGUCAGAAUAUCUAGAGCCAAUCUGUUUUGUAAAACCACCUUUCUAAUUUGUGCUUGUUCAGCAUUAAGAGCUGAAAUAGCCUUUUGAGAAUCUUGUAAUGCCUGUUGAGUAAAAUUAGUCAAAGCAUCCACUCGUAACAUAACAUCUGUAGUUCCCAAAGAGGGAACAAACGCUGCAGCCAAAUAAUCAUACCAAUAAAAUACAGACCUUGCCCACCGAGUUCUAAGGUGGGGUAAAUUAGCAGGCUUUUCUGGAAGCUCUGAAAAUAUAAAGCCAUGAGUAAAGGCUAGACCCAGGGUGCAUCUCCCUAUCCAAC
rnacentral:sRNA from 1 species